UUUGACAGAUUGUUGACUCGUGUUGUCAGUGCUGUUCCCUGUUUGCUCCCCUGCAUACUGUCUUUCAACUCAUCUGCCUGGUCGUCCACCCAUCUGAGUGAAGUUUACCUGCAACAUCAUCUGUCUGCAUAGAACACCUUUUGCUGCAGUGUGCAGAAGUCGCAGUAAGGGACAAUUUACCAGUGUUGGUCCUUGAAACAUCAUGCCCUGCCACCCGGACCCCCGGCUAAUACCCUGCCACCGGCAAUGUUGGGUUAUGCCCUGGCAACUGGAC